ACGAGUGACCAGCAGCACGAUGGUGUCACAGCUCCAAUUCCUCCUCCUCCUGGCGCUGGGCAUCUCAGGUGUAUCUGGGGACAUCGUGAUGACCCAGUCUCCAGCCUCCCUGAACGGGUCUCCAGGAGAGCGCAUUGCCAUGAACUGCAAGUCUAGCCAGAGUCUUCUAUACAGCUCCAACCAGAAGAACUACUUAGCUUGGUACCAGCAGAAACCAGGGCAGGCUCCUAAGAUGCUCAUCAUCUGGGCAUCCACCCGGGCAUCAGGGGUCCCCGACCGGUUCAGCGGCAGUGGGUCUGGGACAGACUUCACCCUCACCAUCAGCAACCUCCAGGCCGAAGAUGUGGGGGACUAUUACUGCCAGCAGUAUUAUAACUAUCCGCCCACAGUGCUUCAGCCUCAAACACAAACCUGCUCCCCAGGGCCAUGGGGCUGCACUGGGGACAUUGUGCUGACCCAGUCUCCAGCCUCUUUGACCGUGUCUCCAGAGCAGAGGGCCACCAUCUCUUGCAAGACCAGUCAGAAAGUCGGUGACAUUUUGGGCAUUACACACUAUAUUACAUGGUAUCAACAAAAAUCAGGACAGCGUCCGAGAAUGCUGAUUUAUAAAGCAUCCAGUCAAGCGUCUGGGGUCCUGGCCCGGUUCAGUGGCAGUGGGUCUGGGACUGAAUUCAGUCUCACGAUUGAUCCCGUGGAGGAUGGUGAUGCUGCCAACUAUUGCUGCCAACUAUUACUGCCAGCAGAGUAA